rnacentral:lncRNA from 1 species
CCUUGACAGGAAUGAUUCCAUUCAUCUUGCACUCUGAACGCCCUGUACUACCUUGUAUACAUACAUAUUGUGAUGGGGGGGGGGGGGGGAGGUUGUUAAAACAGUAGUUAUUUUAUCUUCAAACAGACAUGAAAUAUGAUAUCAUAGUGAUUUAUAGUCUUCGAACAUGUGUGUCACGUGAAAUUUGAUAUGUUACCAUUCGGAGAUACAAUCAGCAAACUCGUUCUCAAAGUUAAACAUUUUAAAAUCAAAUUUCUAAAGUCUUAUUUCACUUAUUAAACAGGAAAUAUUAUUUAACAGGAAUAUCAACUAAUAUUUCCUCUUCAUUAUAGUGUGCGGUAGCAUUUUAUGAGGUAAUUCGAUGUUUUCAUACCACUGUUCAUUUCAACGCACUUUAUGACAAUACCACAAUAGCAAUCGGAGUGAAAUUGUUCGCAGUGUUUUAAGAAAUGAUUUUACGUUGUAUUUACGUAUAAUUUGUGAAUCAUUUAUUGUUAUAAAAGGGCGAUUUUU